CCUACGGGUGGCAGCAGUGAGGAAUAUUGGUCCAUGGCCGGAAGGCUGAACCAGCCAAAUCGCGUGAGGGACGACUGCCCUCUGGGUUGUAAACGUCUUUUAUAAGGGAAGAAUCAAUGAUAAGUGUAUCAUGAUGCCUGUACCUUAUGAUUAAGCAUCGGCUAACUCCGUUCCAGCAGCCGCGGUACUACGGAGGAUGCGAGCGUUAUCCGGAUUUAUUGGGUUUAAAGGGUUCGUAGGCGGUUUUUUAAGUUAGUGUUUAAACGUCGGGGCUUCACCUUGAUUUGCCAUUAAUACUGUAAGACUCGAGUUAAGACGAGGUAGGCGGAAUAAGUUAAGUAGCGGUGAAAUGCUUAGAUAUAACUUAGAACUCCGAUAGCGAAGGCAGCUUACCAGACUGCGACUGACGCUGAAGCACGAGAGCGUGGGUAGCGAACAGGAUUAGAUACCCCGGUAGUC
rnacentral:rRNA from 1 species